CCUGUUCCCAUGCCGAACACAGCAGUUAAGCUCUUCAGCGCCGAUGGUAGUCGGGUUUACCCCCGUGAGAGUAGGACGCCGCCACGU
rnacentral:rRNA from 1 species